GUAGGGAAUCUUGCGCAAUGGGCGAAAGCCUGACGCAGCCAUGCCGCGUGAAUGAUGAAGGUCUUAGGAUUGUAAAAUUCUUUCACCGGGGACGAUAAUGACGGUACCCGGAGAAGAAGCUCCGGCUAACUUCGUGCCAGCAGCCGCGGUAAUACGAAGGGGGCUAGCGUUGCUCGGAAUUACUGGGCGUAAAGGGAGCGUAGGCGGACAUUUAAGUCAGGGGUGAAGUCCCGAGGCUCAACCUCGGAACUGCCUUUGAUACUGGGUGUCUUGAGUGUGAGAGAGGUGAGUGGAACUCCGAGUGUAGAGGUGAAAUUCGUAGAUAUUCGGAAGAACACCAGUGGCGAAGGCGACUCACUGGCUCAUUACUGACGCUGAGGCUCGAAAGCGUGGGGAGCAAACAGGAUUAGAAACCCGAGUAGUCC
rnacentral:rRNA from 1 species